CUCCAAGUGGGCCAUUUUUGGUAAGCAGAACUGGCGAUGAGGGAUGCUCCUAACGCUUGGAUAAGGUGCCUAAAUAUUCGCUCAUGAGAUCCCAUAAAAGGUGUUGGUUCAUAAUGACAGUAGGACGGUGGUCAUGGAAGUCGAAAUCCGCUAAGGAGUGUGUAACAACUCACCUACCGAAUGAACUAGCCCUGAAAAUGGAUGGCGCUAAAGCGGAUUACCGAUACCAAGCCAUAAAAAGAACAGAAAAAAUUUAUUUUUUUUUUAGAAUCUUUUUAUGAGUAGAAAAUCGUGGGGUUUGUGUUGAAGCGAAAUACGUGAGUUUUCGUGGAACAUCUCCCUAGUGCAGAUCUUGGUGGAAGUAGCAACUAUUCAAAUGAGAACUUUGAAGACUGAAGUGGAGAAGGGUUUCUUGUCAACUGUGAUUGAACAAGAGUUAGCCGCUCCUAAGGGAUAGCUGAAAAGUGUUUAAAAGGGGUUCCUUCCCCGUCUCAAAAGGGAAACAGGUUGAUAUUCCUGUGCCAAUAGUAUUAUGAGUUUCUUAGAUGGUAACAUAUAUAUAAAUGAACUCCUUUACAUAGGCUUUACACUCGGGGUGCGUUUUCUUUGCACUUUACCUUUAUAACAAACCUUGGAAUCAAUUUACUUGGAGAAGAGGUUCGUUGAACUCAAUUCAAAAAAUUUCUUGAACGGGGUUUUCGGAUUCAGUUCAUUUUAUUUUUUGUUUUGUAGCAAUAGUAAUUCGUUUUUAUGAAUUAUCCGAAGUGGUAAGGACUAUCCUUGAAAAAAGGAGGGAACGGCUUUGUAAACUUGGUUUCUUCUGAUUCCAUUUUGCUUUGCUAUACUCUUAAUACUUGUAUGAGCGUACCAACAACCGCAUCAGGUCUCCAAGGUUAACAGCCUCUGGUUAAAUAGAAAAAAGUAGGUAAGGGAAGUCGGCAAAUAGAUCCGUAACUUCGGAAAAGGAUUGGCUCUGAGGACAUUAGAAAAGAGAAGAAAAAAAGAGGGUCGAAAAUAAAAUUGCAGUCUUUAUUUGCUUUUCUUUCGAUUUGCUUGUAAUCUGCUUUUUCUUUUUCUUCUUUCUUUUUUUCUCCCCCUCUUUUCGCCUUCACUUUAUUGUAAUUUUAUUACUUUAAUUUGAUACCUAUAAUGUUAACUCAGAACUGAAACGGACAAGGGGAAUCCGACUGUUUAAUUAAAACAUAGCAUUGUGAAAAGCCACAACUGGUAUUAACACAAUGUGAUUUCUGCCCAGUGCUUUGAAUGUCAACUUGAUGAAAUUCAAUCAAGCGCAGGUAAACGGCGGGAGUAACUAUGACUCUCUUAAGUAGCCAAAUGCCUCGUCAUCUAAUUAGUGACGCGCAUGAAUGGAUUAACGAGAUUCCCACUGUCCCUACUUGCUAUCUAGCGAAACCACAGCCAAGGGAACGGGCUUGGCAAAAUCAGCGGGGAAAGAAGACCCUGUUGAGCUUUACUCUAGUCUGGCUUUGUGAAACGACUUAAGAGGUGUAGCAUAAGUGGGGAAAGAAGACCCUGUUGAGCUUUACUCUAGUCUGGCUUUGUGAAACGACUUAAGAGGUGUAGCAUAAGUGGGAGUAGAAACUGAAAUAUGUUUUUACGACAGUGAAAUACCACUACUUUUAAAGUUGUUUUACUUAUCCAUUUAUAGGGAAAUAUAUAAUAUGUUUUUACGACAGUGAAAUACCACUACUUUUAAAGUUGUUUUACUUAUCCAUUUAUAGGGAAAUAUAUUAUGCUUUAUCCUUCGGGAAGGCAUUCUGAUAUUAUUUGAAUUUUUAAGAAACUUGUUUCUUAUUUUUCUCCCAUUUCUAUGGAGACAUAGCCAGGUGGGGAGUUUGACUGGGGCGGUACAUCUGUUAAAUAUUAACGCAGAUGUCCAAAGACAAGCUCAAAGAGAACAGAAAUCUCUUGU
rnacentral:rRNA from 1 species